rnacentral:rRNA from 1 species
CACGUAGGGCGCAAGCGUUGUCCGGAAUUAUUGGGCGUAAAGAGCUCGUAGGCGGUCUGUUGCGUCCGCUGUGAAAACUCGGGGCUUAACCCCGAGCCUGCAGUGGAUACGGGCAGACUAGAGGUAGGUAGGGGAGAAUGGAAUUCCCGGUGUAGCGGUGAAAUGCGCAGAUAUCGGGAGGAACACCGGUGGCGAAGGCGGCAUCCUGGACCGAUACUGACGCUGAGGAGCGAAAGCCAGGGGAGCAAACGGG